AUUGAACGCUGGCGGCAGGCCUAACACAUGCAAGUCGAGCGGAGCGGCGGACGGGUGAGUAAUGACUAGGAAUCUGCCUGGUAGUGGGGGAUAACGUACGGAAACGGGCGCUAAUAACGCAUAAUUGCAACUGAGCAUAGGUCGGCUUAGCUAGAUGGUGGGGAAAAGGCCUACAAAGGCGACGAUUCGUAACUGGGCUGAGAGGAUGAUCAGUCACAAUGGAACUGAGAUACGGUCCAGAAGCCUAAGGGAGGAAGCAGGGGGGAAUAUUGGACAAUGGGCGAAAGCCUGAUCCAGCCAUGCCGGGUGUGUGAAGAAGGUUUUCGGAUUUUAAAGCACUUGUAGUUGGGAGGCGUUACCAACAGAAUAAGCACCGGCUAACUUCGUGCCAGCAGCCGCGGUAAUUC
rnacentral:rRNA from 1 species